GCCCAGUUGGUGUAGCAGGUAACACAAGCGACUUGUGGCUAUAGGUUGCGUGAAGCAAUACAUCCACCAAAGUACAGCGAGUCUUCGGUUCGAGUCCGAGGCUGGGCA